rnacentral:tRNA from 1 species
UGCGGGGGUUUCCCAGACAGGUCAAAGGAGCAGGAUUGAGGGUCCUGUCGCGUAGGCGUUCGCGAGUUCAAAUCUCGUCCCCCGCAU